GGCCUUCCAAAGUGUUGGGAUUAUACAGGCGUGAGCCACUGUGCCCGGCCCCAUUUUUUCUUAUCAUUAAAAGUUCUACCUUUAAGGGCUGCACAUGCUGCUAAAGGGAUAUUAUCUGCUUUACUUACCAGAUCCCCCACUGCUGGACACUUAGGUUGUUUUGUUUCCAGUUUGUCACUCUUAUGAACAAUGAUGGAACAGCUUAUAUAUAAACCCCUGUCCCCAUUCUGGACAUUUCCUUCCAAUCCCAGAAGUAGAACUCGUGAUUGAGCAGUUAGUCACAUUCAUUUCCUCCCUGGCAGCGGCUCAUGUGCCCACUGCUUAGCAUUCAUUUUUUUUGCCAGGGGUAUGGGGCAAUAACCUUUGUAUUUUUCCUCUUGCUGAACUCCUAGACCCUGAAUAUAAGACUACUGGCUGGCCCAUGGAGAGCAAACGUUUUCCUCUGCUGCGAUGCUGUCUUUGACAUUGCCCUGGUGCCUGCUUCCGACCCCCAGGAGAAAGUGCUGUAUAAAGAGGUUCACCUAAUUAACACCCACUGGACUGCAAACUCGACAAGGCAAGGCCAGACUGCAUGUUUUUGCACUCCCUUCCACCCCUACCCUGCUGGAAUUCUUCUACCUACCAUGAAGUAUGACCCACAGUCCAACCCAACAAAGAUCUGCUGAUGGAAGAAACGGGGCAAUGCCUGUACAUGGGGCCUUCAGGUCCGGCUGGAACAAGGCGGCUUCCCUGUUUUACUCUGCUGUGGCCUGUUUGUUUAGGUGGCAGGGGCUUGGACAAUGGGCGUCCAUGCCGAGAUACAAUGGAGCUGUCAAUUAAGAUGCCCCGCCUUCCCCUGGCAGAGGGUCAGAUGCUCUGCCCUGGGAAUUUGAAUGAAUCCCUCAGCCGGCCCAGCUACUCACUGCUCUGGUCCCAUCUGACCCAGGUGGUCUCACCAUUCUCCCCCACCUUCUGCCUUCUAAUAAAUUCCUUUCGUGCCUGAUA
rnacentral:lncRNA from 1 species